UACGGUGAAUACGUUCCCGGACCUUGUACACACCGCCCGUCAAGCCAUGGAAGCCGGGUGUACCUAAAGUCGGUAACCGCAAGGAGCCGCCUAGGGUAAAAACUGGGUGACGUGGGGCU
rnacentral:rRNA from 1 species